rnacentral:rRNA from 1 species
AUUCGAAUGAGUACAAUUUAAAUCCUUUAACGAGGACCAAUUGGAGGGCAAGUCUGGUGCCAGCAGCCGCGGUAACUCCAGCUCCAAAAGCGUAUAUUAAAGUUGCUGCAGUUAAAAAGCUCGUAGUUGAAUCUGGGUCGUGCGGUCGCAUGCCGUUGCUUGUUCACGGUUUUGGUUACGAUCAGGACCAGUGUUCAGCUCGGUGUAGUGGCUGUGCAGCCUUUCAGCCGUGUCUGUGUUAAACGGGUGCUGGUGGGUUGACGAGUUCGUCUUGUUGACCUGUCGGCAUGCUUCCGGAUGCCUUUAAACGGGUGUCGGGAGCGGACGGCAUCUUUACUUUGAACAAAUUUGAGUGCUCAAAGCAGGCCUAUGUGCCUGAAAAUUCUUGCAUGGAAUAAUGAAAUAGGACUUCGGUUCUAUUUUGUUGGUUUUCGGAUCCGAAGUAAUGGUUAAGAGGGACAGACGGGGGCAUUUGUAUGGCGGUGUUAGAGGUGAAAUUCUGGGAUCGCCGCCAGACAAACUACAGCGAAAGCAUUUGCCAAGAAUGUUUUCAUUGAUCAGGAGCGAAAGUCAGAGUUUCGAAGACGAUCAGAUACCGUCGUAGUUCUGACCAUAAACGAUGCCAACUGACGAUCCGCGUUGGUUCUAUAAUUGACAUCGCGGGCAGUCCCCGGGAAACCUUUAAGUCUUUGGGCUCCGGGGGGAGUAUGGUUGCAAAGCUGAAACUUAAAGGAAUUGACGGAAGGGCACCACCAGGAGUGGAGCCUGCGGUUUAAUUCGACUCAACACGGGAAAACUCACCCGGCCCGGACACUGUGAGGAUAGACAGAUUGAUAGCUCUUUCUUGAUUCGGUGGGUGGUGGUGCAUGGCCGUUAUUAGUUGGUGGAGCGAUUUGUCUGGUUAAUUCCGAUAACGAACGAGACUUUAACGUGCUAAAUAGUAGACUGGUCCUCUGUGCUCGUUUAGGGCGCGGCUUCUAUUGCUUCUUUAUGGAGUAGUGUGGUCGUGAUCCGGCGGGUGCGGUGCCAGUUUUUACUUCUUAGAGGGACAAGCGGCACACUUAAGUCGCACGAAAUUGAGCAAUAACAGGUCUGUGAUGCCCUUAGAUGUCCGGGGCCACACGUGCGCUACAAUGACGGUGCCAGCGAGUCUGGAAACCUGGCCCGAAAGGGUUGGGCAAACUGUUUCAUCACCGUCGUGACUGGGAUCGGGGCUUGCAAUUAUUCCCCGUGAACGAGGAAUUCCUGGUAAGUGCAAGUCAUAAGCUUGCGCUGAUUACGUCCCUGCCCUUUGUACACACCGCCCGUCGCUACUACCGAUUGAAUGGUUUAGUGAGGUCGUUGGAUUGGCGUCGUUGUAGUGGCUUUGCCGCUCGACUGAUGCUGAGAAGAUGACCUAAUUUGACUAUUUAGAGGAAGUAAAAGUCGUAACAAGGUUUCCGUAGGUGAACCUGCGGAAG